rnacentral:rRNA from 1 species
AUUGAACGCUGGCGGCAUGCUUUACACAUGCAAGUCGAACGGUAACAGGCCUUCGGGUGCUGACGAGUGGCGAACGGGUGAGUAAUGCAUCGGAACGUACCCAGAGGUGGGGGAUAACGCAGCGAAAGCUGUGCUAAUACCUCAUGUGAUCUGAGGAUGAAAGCGGGGGACCGAGCAGCAAUGUUUGGCCUCGCGCCUUUGGAGCGGCCGAUGUCGGAUUAGCUAGUUGGUGGGGUAAAGGCCUACCAAGGCGACGAUCCGUAGCUGGUCUGAGAAGACGACCAGCCACACUGGGACUGAGACACGGCCCAGACUCCUACGGGAGGCAGCAGUGGGGAAUUUUGGACAAUGGGCGCAAGCCUGAUCCAGCAAUGCCGCGUGCGGGAAGAAGGCCUUCGGGUUGUAAACCGCUUUUGGCAGGAACGAAACGGUGUCCGCUAAUACCGGGCGCUAAUGACGGUACCUGCAGAAUAAGCACCGGCUAACUACGUG